rnacentral:lncRNA from 1 species
GCCCGGCUUUACAUAAACUCUGAAAGCAAGCACAGAUGCUGUGCAUCUUCUAAGCUAUUCUGUUGUCUCUCCAUCAUCCCCGCCUCCUCACAAGAGGGCCUCCCCUCUUUCUCUGGCCUUCCAUUCCUACUAGAAAGUUAGGAGUAGGCCAUGGCUAGAGCAGAAUUGGGGUUGGAUGUGAUGGUUGGGUCAGCAUGGGUAGGAUGAAAGAGUAUGACGGUGCUCAGAAUUCAGGGUUCAUCAUCUUGUCUGCCUGUGCUACACAGGAUGUAAGUGUGGCCGGCCAGCUGGGGAGAGUGUUUCUGCCUUUGUUUGUCCCUCUCUACCUCUCUUGUGAGACACUCCAUCUCCCUGAGAGUGAGUGAGUCUGUGGCAGAAACUGCCUUCUCACUUCCUUCUCAUGCUUCUUUUACUUAUAUGUGCUGGAGAGGAAUAUGGAGCAAUCUCCAUGUUCUCUCAGUUCAGUUUGGUGGUGGCUUUCCUCUGUUUUCAGGCUCUCUACUGCUGAGUUACACACCAGCUCUAUUUGGUUUACAUUUCUAGGGUUCUAUUUCUAUCUGUGUAUAUAUGUAUGUAUGUAUGUAUGUGUAUGUGUGUAUGUAUGUCUCUCUUAUCUAUCAUCUAUCUAUCUAUCUAUCUAUCUAUCUAUCUUGGGGUGUUUAUCCAGAGCAGUAUGUCAGGUGCCUUCCUCAGUUACUUUCCACCUUAUUUUUUCAGAGAUCUAUUUUUAUUUUAUGUGUAUUAAUGUUUUGCCUGUAUGUAUGUUUGUGCUUCACAUGUGUGCAGUGCCUGUAGAGGCAAGAAGAAAGCUUGGAUCCCAUGGAAGUGGAGUUCUAUAGAAUUAUUAGCUGCUAUGUGGUGCUGGGACUCAAGCCUGGGUCUUCUGGAAGAGUUAACAGUGUACUUACUUGCCGGGCCAUCAUUCCAGUCCUUCUUCCUUAGUUUUAGAGACUGGGUCUCAUUGUACCUGAAGGUUACUGUUGCAGCUAGGCUGGCCAGCCAGCAAGCCCCUGGGAUGCACAUGUCUCUGCCUCCCAACACUGGGGUUACAAGCCCUCCUCACCAUGACUGGCUUUACAGGAAUACUAGGGAUUUGAACUCAGGUCUUGUGGUUUUCACAGCAAGUACUCUUACCUACUGAGCUGUCUCCACAGACCCUUGGUUUUGGCUUCUAAUGUUAAUUUACUUUUCUUCCAUGAAUUGAGUUGAUAUAACAGUCACUACAAGGAAAGCGCAAGUUGUUCCAUGAGUAUAUAUGUGAGCACAUAUUUUACUACUAUGAGCUCCCAGAGUUUGCUGCUGAUAGAUCUGAAACACACACACAUACACACACACACACACACACACACACACACACACACCCAAGAUCAUUAUUGAGGACGGUACUAGGAUUACAAUACCAGAGCAGCCUUUUCUUGGUGUGGUUAAAAUGAAAGUUCUCAUCCUGAGAACUCUGAUUUCUCGUGUUCUUUCCUGUGGCUGAAGCUUGCUUCCCUUAAGCAGUUUCUCCAGAUUUGCUUUCUUCUCCAAUGGUUUUGAUGUGGAGCUGGGAGCAGACUCCAGGGAUUCUAAGUUUAGCUUCCUAUGAUGCUAAGGCUGUGGGGGUGCCAGGUUGGGGGAGGGGUUGUGGCCUCUGUGGAUUUGGCCACUGCUCUUUUACCACAGGCUUUCAUCUGUUGAAUAAUCAGAGAUGCUUAGCUCAAUUCUUGGAGCAGGGCACAGCUACCCAAAGAGUGUGUAUGCCCGUGAAAAAAGUAUUUUGUUCAGCUCCAGUUAUACUUAGGGUCAGUGAGUUCAUGCUUCUAUUUGAGUUGGAGAGGGGGUAGCAAAGAAAGGAAACAUUUAGCUAAAGGAAGCCAACAUUGAAUUAGGGGAAAUAGAUGUCCCUUUGAGCUGCCAAACUAUCAAAGCAGACAAUGGUCAUUCUUCUGAGAUGUUAAAGUCCUCAUAACCCUACCACUUUAGCAUAUUCCAUAAUAGACCGGUUUCAACUCACACUGCAUGGUAUUGCCAGCUUGUUAGUUCUGGAUCCCCUGAGACUCAUGGUUUGUAUUUCAAUAAGAGGAACAUUGUUAGGCCAUUAGUAUUUGAGAUCUUACCUAGUGUUUAAAUGUGGCAUUUUUUCCAGUUGGCAGCACAUUUCAUAAUUCCUCAUACAAAGUAUUUUAUAUGCAAAAGUACUUUCCCUUCCCUACCCCCACCUACUUUCCGACAUCUGCAUCUACCCACCUCCUUUUAAAAUUUCUUCUUACAGGGCUAAUGGAAUGGUUGUCUGCCUCACUCUUGUACAAUCUGGUGGUAGUGGGGCUUGCACACUCAUGCACACACACGCACACACACACACACACACACGUGUGUUUCUUUUGUAAAGAUUCAAUUUGCUCAGGCGAGGAGGAUUCCCAAAGCCUCUGCAGUGCUUCCUUUAUUGUGGCCGUUACAUAAUUUCAGUUGCUCUGAAGUUGUUCUUCCUCUUUCUUUUCCUCCUCCCCUCUCUCUUCCUCUCCUCCUUGUCCUCCUCCAUCAUCAUCAGGUCUUGUUAAUUAUUUUGUACAAGCUGGCCUCAAACUCAGAAUUCUUCUGCCUCAGCCUCCCACUCUUGAGAUUCUAGAUAUGCGCCAGCACAGACAGCUGUGUUGUUCUGGCCUCAUCGGUAGCUUGUCUAUCCCACCAAAGGUUUCUGGACCUUUGGGAAAGGUCCUUGUCACCAGGUAGCUAGCCUGCCAGGAGCAAGGUUAUUGGCUCAUCAUGAUGUCCAGUGAGAUAUUUGAGGGAACUGAGGAAGAAUAAUACUUCCAGACAAGGUCUUAAGUAUUUGUAACUAACCAGUUAUAGAGAUAAAAUCUUCUCUUUAUAAGCCUCAAUUGUCAGUGGGAAUAACCUGUUUUUAAUACAUACACUAUUUUUUAUUAUAUUUUAGCAGUUAAUGCUCUCAAAAUCCAGUUACCACAAAGCAUCAU